GUGACUGUAUUUUGAUCUCUACUUCAAAGAGCUGACUUCCUUUGGCACAGGUUCUCCAAGCAGCUGCAGAGGUGUAUGGUAUCACUUGUCCUUGGAGCAGCACACAGCUUUUCUUUUGGUGCCUGUGAGCUAAGGUGGGGUGUGGGAAAACUUCAUGGAGCCACUCUCGUCUACAGAAAGGCUACUAAAAGGCAGGAGAGCAAGGAUCACGACUGGCAAAGGAUAUGUGCUGAAAAAAAGUGCCAGAUGGAGAGGGGACCUCAUUCCCCAACCCCAGGCACGGCCCAGAACCCGCUUGAUGGGCAAUGCACGGCAACACGGAAUGCAGAACUUGGAGACCACAGGCGCUGGUCAUCUCCUGCACUGCGCUCCCUACCCACUCCGCACGGGCAGUGACUACCUAGAGCACUAACUAG
rnacentral:lncRNA from 1 species